UACGUAGGGUGCGAGCGUUAAUCGGAAUUACUGGGCGUAAAGCGUGCGCAGGCGGUUCUCCAAGUCCGUUGUGAAAGCCCCGGGCUCAACCUGGGAAUGGCAGUGGAAACUAGGGGACUGGAAUCUGGCAGAGGGGGGUAGAAUUCCACGUGUAGCAGUGAAAUGCGUAGAUAUGUGGAGGAACACCGAUGGCGAAGGCAGCCCCCUGGGUCAAGACUGACGCUCAUGCACGAAAGCGUGGGGAGCAAACAGG
rnacentral:rRNA from 1 species